CCCAAAUUGCAUGUGGCUGAGGACCCCCAAGCCAGAUGCCACGCGGCCGCGGACCCCAACCCAGACAGACCCCGACCCACCCGUGCAGCCCCCAGCCCCAGAAGUCAAAUCACAGCGUCCCCCCAGCACGGUCCCGGCUCCCGCAGGUACAGCAGCUGCCUGAGGCGGCCCCACCUGCAACUCCGGACCAAUCAGAGAAGGCCAAGUGGGCUCCCCAAGCCCAGCCGUGGGACCCCCGAUCUAGAGGGCCCUUCCCCGCCCCAGGCCAGCAGCCACCCUCUGGCUCCUCAUCAAGUCUGCCAAAUGCAGGGGCGAGGGCCGACCCCGCUACGGGAACCAAGCCCAGGAAACAGCCGGUGCAGCGUGCGCUCCGGCGGCCCAUCUCCAUCCGGACCCGCUGCUGCCGCCGCAGGUUCACGCCGUUCCGCGGACACGUCUCCGGCGCCUCCAGCCCCUCAGAAACCCGGGGUUUCUAUGGCAAAGGUCCUGGUGGAAAUCGCAUCACCUGCCGUUCCUGCCUCCGCGGUGGAUUCGCUGCGUUAAACUGCCCCCCGCUCUUCAUCCCCCAAGCCCCGGCAGCCUCCGACCCUCCCCCGGCGGCGCAGCGCAGCCUUUUGCAGGCGCCAAGCUGGAAUCCGACCGCGCAGCCUUCGCACCGGUGCGCGCUUCAGGCCCCGCACGCCUCUCCCAGGCUUCAUCACCCAGUUCUCUCUGGCGCUGGAGGAAACCCCCCAGCUGCUUCUCCACUCACCACUGAAGCGCGUCUCGGCUGCCCCCAGCCCCGUGCCCUCCCGAGAACACUGUGGGCCGCAACCCCACGGCCCACCCCCGACCUGCACUCACCGUGCGGGGCCUGUGGAGCCUCCACCCUUUGGAGGAAGGACGUGUCAAAGCUUGGAGGUGCGCGGCCUGUCUGCCCUCCGCCCCAGGCCCGGCAUGGCGCGCCGCAGGGUCUCAGCCGGGAUCAGCCUGGCCCAGAAGGAUUUAUCGUUGAAAGUGUUGGUCCCAGAACCCAAAGGGAAGACGUGCUGGUUUUCUGACGAGCUGGGCCACCUCCUCUAGGAAGCCCUCCUCCUUGCAGCUCUGUAGACCUCGUGGGCUUGCAAGAGUCAAAGGGCCCGGUCCACAGCGGCUCUUGGCACUGGGCUGGACAGUGUCCUGCCCCCAAAAUUCAUGUCCCCCCAGAACCUCCAAAUGCAACUUUCCUUGGAAAUAGGGGCUUUGCAGAUGUAAUUAAGGAUCUUGGGGUGAGGUUACCCUGGAUUGAGGCUGGGUCCCAAGUCUAUCACUGGUGUUCCUCCGUGAAGAGUAGAGCAGAGCAGAACAGAGACGGACGCACAGAGCAGGCCCUGUGAAGACAGAGGCAGGGACUGGAGCGCUGGUUGGCCGCAGCAGGGGUGUGGAGCCCCCAGAGCUGGAAGACGGAGGGAGGGAUCCUCCCAGGGCCUCCAGAGGGAGAGUGCUGCGUGCUGCCCACACCUUGUUUCUGGACUUGUGGCCUCCGGAACUGGGAGAGAAUAAAUUUCUGGCGUUGUAAGCCUGCAUUACGGCAGCCCCAGGACGCUAAAAUAGUUCAGCGCGUGCAGGCUCCUCCCUCCCUCUCUCUCUGUUGUUGUGAGGUAUUUUUUAGACAGGAUCUCUCUCACCUGUCGCUGGAAUGCAGUGGCAGGAUCAUAGCUUGCUGUAGCCUCCAACGCCUGGGCUAACGCGAUCCUCCCACCUCAGCCUCCUGAGUAGCUGGGACUACAGGUGCCAUCAGACCUGGCUAACUUUAAAAAAUAUUUUUAGAGAUGGGGGUCUCCCUGUGUGGCCCAGGCUGGCCUUGAACUCUUGGGCUCAAGUGAUCCUCUCGCCUUAGCCUCCCAAAGUGUCGGGAUGGCAGGCUUGAGCCACCGCACCUGGCAGUUCCAUCUCUGAUGACUCCUGAAGCCCUUCAUCUUGGCUAAUCCAGACAGGCUUGCUGGGGGCCCUCUCUCCCCUUGGAGACUUUGGGAUGCGGCUGGAUGUCCACAUGGCCGGGGUCCUCCACAGCCCCCAGCUUCCCAGGGCACGAGGCAGGCUGUGUCCUCGGUGAGCAUCGAGAGUGAGGCUGAGAUGUUUGCCCUUCACAUUUGCACAUUUAGGGGCGUUUUGUUGUUGACUCAUUCAAAGCUCUUUUAAGUUGCUUAAUUUGCUGCUCGGAGGGAAAUGAAAAAGGAGCCAUGUUCCCUGAUUUGUUCGCCUCAGUCAACUUUUAAAUCAAUAAAAAAGUGCAUUUUGCUUAUCGGAUGCAAA